UACGAACUGUGCAAACGUUAUUCGGAAUCACUGGGCUUACAGGGUGCGUAGGCGGCUUGUUAAGUAGGGUGUGAAAGCCCCCGGCUCAACCGGGGAAUUGCGCCCUAAACUGGCGAGCUGGAGUGAGAUAGGGGUGUGUGGAACUUCCGGUGGAGCGGUGAAAUGCGUAGAUAUCUGGAGGAACACCGGUGGCGAAGGCGGCAUCCUGGACCGGCAUUGACGCUGAGGCGCGAAAGCCAGGGGAGCAAACGGG
rnacentral:rRNA from 1 species